rnacentral:tRNA from 1 species
AACCAUAAAGCAAAGCACUGAAAAUGCUUAGAUGGGUACUCAAUCAUACCCCAUAAACA